rnacentral:rRNA from 1 species
UGAGAGGAUGAACGGCCACACUGGAACUGCUGACACGGUCCAGACUCCUACGGGAGGCAGCAGUGGGGAAUCUUCCGCAAUGGGCGAAAGCCUGACGGAGCAACGCCGCGUGAGUGAUGACGGCCUUCGGGUUGUAAAACUCUGUGAUCCGGGACGAAAAGGCAGUGUGCGAAGAACAAACUGCAUUGACGGUACCCGGAAA